rnacentral:rRNA from 1 species
AACGAACGCUGGCGGCAGGCCUAACACAUGCAAGUCGAACGGGAUCUUCGGGUCUAGUGGCGGACGGGUGAGUAACACGUGGGAACGUGCCAUUUGGUUCGGAAUAGCCCCGGGAAACUGGGAGUAAUACCGGAUAAGCCCUAAGGGGGAACGAGUUAUCGCCAAAGGAUCGGCCCGCGUUGGAUUAGGUAGUUGGUGAGGUAAUGGCUCACCAAGCAGACGAUCCAUAGCUGGUUUGAGAGGUUGAUCAGCCACACUGGGACUGGGACACGGCCCAGACUCCUACGGGAGGCAGCAGUGGGGAAUCUUAGACAAUGGGGGAAACCCUGAUCUAGCCAUGCCGCGUGAUCGAUGAAGGCCUUAGGGUUGUAAAGAUCUUUCAGUGGGUAAGAUAAUGACUGUACCCACAGAAGAAGCCCCGGCUAACUCCGUGCCAGCCGCCGCCGUAA